CAAGACUUUUUCGGAUUUGACAAGUAUCCGAAAUGCGGGAUGUGGUCAGUCAGUUUUCUCCACCGUGACGACAAGGAGGACAGUGUACCACCACCAGCAUCAUCAUCAAGAGAAUUGUUGAUUGUUUCGGCACUAACAAACAGAUUGGAUGGUUGUCGGUUGUUAAAGGCGUUGGUGGCGUCCACGAGUAAGAUGGCUUCUGUAUUCUUGUCAUCAAAGAUGGUAUUCAUAGCAUAUGUGUUGCUGCCUCGCACCGGAUGUCUGGCCAGCACAAAGUUGUAGUGGACUGACUGCAGUUUCAAAAUAGUGAAUCUAGUCAAAGCAUUUAUGAAGGCAUGGUGGCCGUGUCAUUGAAGGUGGUUCAGAAUCUGAUUGCUUUCCAGUGAAUGGAACUAAGCAAGGAUGUGUCCUGGUGCCCACACUUUUUAGCAUAUUGCUUUCUGUCAUGUUGAUGGAUGCCUUUUUUUAUGAGGACAGAGAGUUCACAUUCAGUUCAGAAUGGAUGGUGGAAUCUUCAAUCUUAAAUUUUAGAGUCUCUGGUUAGGGACUUCCUAUUUCCUGAUGAUUGUGCACUAGUUGCUCACAGUAUUGUUGACAUCCAGUGUAUUGUCAAUUGUCUGGCUAACUCUACCAAUUGCUUUGGCCUGGCAAUCAGUCUAAAAGGACUGAAAUGAUACUUCAACCACGCGCCCCUGUUCUACUUUCAAACCUCCAUUUGUUAUUAUCAACGAGAGCAAAAUGUCUUAUAUCGACAACUUUACAUAUCUAGGAAGCGAAUGUCCAAUGAUGCUACAAUAGACGCAGAAGUAUCACAGCGUAUUUUCAAAGCAGACUCCGGCUUUGGAAAGCUCUUUCAACAAUUAUGCAAGAGACAUGACAUUUGGAUCGAUACCAAGAUUGCAGUAUACAAAGCUGUUGUACUAUCUAUUUUGCUGUAUGGUUUCAAAACUUGGACCACAUGCAGGCGUCACAUUAAGAAACUUGAAGCUUUUCAUCUUCUUUGCUUCACAGCAUCUGUGGUGUUCGCUGGCAAGACAUGAUGUCGAAUGUUGAAGUGUUGGAAAAGACCAAUAUGCCUAGAAUUGAGUACUUUCUUAUCAAAUCUCAGUUCAGAUGGACUGGACGUCUAAUUUGGAUGUCUGAUGACAGAAUUCCCAAGCAGUUAUUUUUGGUCAGUUUGCUUAGGGAAACGUCCUCAGUCAAAGCCAAAACGGUUUGAAGACUCACUAGAGACCAACUUGAAAAAGUGUUCAAUUGAUCCCAACAACUUGGAAAAGAUAACAUCAGAUAGAGCAACUUGGAGGAAUGUAUGUCUUUCCUCACUAGAACAUUUGAAGAGAAAAGAGUUAAAACAAUAGCACUUAAAGGUCAGAAUAGAAAAACAGCACAUCUGCGUUAUGUGCUGGUUUCUAAUGUGAAGAAUAUAUGUACUUGUCUUUCAUGUGGGACAAUUUUCCGUUAAAGUGCGGGCCUUGCAUCACACAGGAGAGCAAACAGACAUUGACUGGUGUCAUCACUGAAAUCAGUGGACAACCAUCACCAUCAUAGUGUCAGUUCUGUCCAAGAAGAAGAAGAAAUGACAUAUAGACAGUGACUGCUGAUAGCAUUGUAGCAUUGUAGCAUUGUAGCAUCGUAGCAUAGUCAUUGCAGUAUCGAACCUGAGCCUUAGGGGCUCUUGUAUGUACGUAGGUACAAAUAAUGCAUGUAUGUAUGUAGGUAUGUAUGUAUGUAUGUGUGUGUGUCUGUAUGUUUGUCUGUCUCGGAAUCUGGGCU